UCCCCCGUGAGGGGGCAGUCUCGCCUGACUUGUAAAACAGGCAACGAGGGUUGCGUUCGUUACCCCACUGAAGGGAACAACUCAAGCCACGAACUGACGACGACCAUGCAUCACCUGCCCUGCCGUCUUGCGAAAGGUCUAGUUUCCUAGACCGGUCGGCAGGGUUUCAAACCCUGGUGAGGUUCUUCGUUUGUCAUCGAAUUGAGCCGCAUGAUCCACCGCUUGUGCAAGUCCCCGUCUAUUCCUUUGAGUUUUAAUCUUGCGAUCGUACUACCCAGGCGGAUAACUUAACGCGUUAGCUUCGCCUCAAAGAGGGUCGAUACUCCUUAAAGCCAGUUAUCAUCGUUUAGGGCGUGGACUAC
rnacentral:misc_RNA from 1 species